UUCCAUGCUUAACACAUGCAAGUCGAACGGCAGCGCGUUCCGCUUCGGCGGAAUGGCGGCGAGUGGCGAACGGGUGAGUAAUACGUGGGAAUCUGCCCGGUAGUGGGGGACAACCCGGGGAAACUCGGGCUAAUACCGCAUAUACCCUACGGGGGAAAGCGGGGGACCUUCGGGCCUCGCGCUACCGGAUGAGCCCACGGCCGAUUAGCUUGUUGGUAGGGUAACGGCCUACCAAGGCGACGAUCGGUAGCUGGUCUGAGAGGACGAUCAGCCACACUGGGACUGAGACACGGCCCAGACUCCUACGGGAGGCAGCAGUGGGGAAUAUUGGACAAUGGGCGAAAGCCUGAUCCAGCAAUGCCGCGUGUGUGAAGAANCCUUCGGGUUGUAAAGCACUUUCAGUGGGGGAAGAAAAGUAGCGGGCCAAUACCCCGCUAUCUUGACGUUAC
rnacentral:rRNA from 1 species